rnacentral:rRNA from 1 species
GAGUUUGAUCAUGGCUCAGAUUGAACGCUGGCGGCAUGCCUUACACAUGCAAGUCGAGCGGAUGACGGGAGCUUGCUCCUUGAUUCAGCGGCGGACGGGUGAGUAAUGCCUAGGAAUCUGCCUGGUAGUGGGGGACAACGUUUCGAAAGGAACGCUAAUACCGCAUACGUCCUACGGGAGAAAGCAGGGGACCUUCGGGCCUUGCGCUAUCAGAUGAGCCUAGGUCGGAUUAGCUAGUUGGUGGGGUAAUGGCUCACCAAGGCGACGAUCCGUAACUGGUCUGAGAGGAUGAUCAGUCACACUGGAACUGAGACACGGUCCAGACUCCUACGGGAGGCAGCAGUGGGGAAUAUUGGACAAUGGGCGAAAGCCUGAUCCAGCCAUGCCGCGUGUGUGAAGAAGGUCUUCGGAUUGUAAAGCACUUUAAGUUGGUAGGAAGGGCAGUAAGUUAAUACCUUGCUGUUUUGACGUUACCGACAGAAUAAGCACCGGCUAACUCUGUGCCAG